rnacentral:rRNA from 1 species
GGUGCGUAACGCGUAUAGAACCUACCUUUUACUAGGAAAUAGCCCAUGGAAACGUGGAUUAAUGUCCCAUAAUAACAUUUAAUGGCAUCAUUUGAAUGUUUAAAGCUUCGGCGGUAGAAGAUGGCUAUGCGUCCCAUUAGUUAGUAGGCGAGGUAACGGCUCACCUAGGCUUCGAUGGGUAGGGGCCCUGAGAGGGGGAUCCCCCACACUGGUACUGAGACACGGACCAGACUCCUACGGGAGGCAGCAGUGAGGAAUAUUGGACAAUGGACGAAAGUCUGAUCCAGCCAUGCCGCGUGCAGGAAGACGGCCCUACGGGUUGUAAACUGCUUUUAUACGGGAAGAAUAAGAAGUACGUGUACUUCGAUGACGGUACCGUAAGAAUAAGGACCGGCUAACUCCGUGCCAGCAGCCGCGGUAAUACGGAGGGUCCGAGCGUUAUCCGGAAUCAUUGGGUUUAAAGGGUCCGCAGGCGGGCAAUUAAGUCAGGGGUGAAAGGCUGUGGCUCAACCAUAGCAUUGCCUUUGAUACUGGUUGUCUUGAGUUAUAGUGAAGUGGCCGGAAUAUGUAGUGUAGCGGUGAAAUGCAUAGAUAUUACAUAGAACACCGAUUGCGAAGGCAGGUCACUAACUAUUGACUGACGCUGAUGGACGAAAGCGUGGGGAGCGAACGGGAUUAGAUACCCCGGUAGUCCACGCCGUAAACGAUGGAUACUAGCUGUCGGGCUUUCGGGCUCGGCGGCCAAGCGAAAGUGAUAAGUAUCCCACCUGGGGAGUACGUUCGCAAGAAUGAAACUCAAAGGAAUUGACGGGGGCCCGCACAAGCGGUGGAGCAUGUGGUUUAAUUCGAUGAUACGCGAGGAACCUUACCAGGGCUUAAAUGCAGAAUGACAGGACCAGAGACGGUUUUUUCUUCGGACAUUUUGCAAGGUGCUGCAUGGUUGUCGUCAGCUCGUGCCGUGAGGUGUCAGGUUAAGUCCUAUAACGAGCGCAACCCCUGUCGUCAGUUGCCAACAGAUAAUGCUGGGGACUCUGGCGAGACUGCCGGUGCAAACCGCGAGGAAGGUGGGGAUGACGUCAAAUCAUCACGGCCCUUACGUCCUGGGCUACACACGUGCUACAAUGGCCGAUACAGUGAGCAGCCAUCCGGCAACGGAGAGCGAAUCUAUAAAAUCGGUCACAGUUCGGAUCGGGGUCUGCAACUCGACCCCGUGAAGCUGGAAUCGCUAGUAAUCGGAUAUCAGCCAUGAUCCGGUGAAUACGUUCCCG